ACAGAAACUCGGGAUAGGAACCGCGAAUAUUGACGUUGAGCGAGUUGAUGUAGACGGCGUCGUUGGAAACAAAAGUGCUGACGGUGCAAGCGGGCUCUUUAAAGGUGUGCUUGUACAUCACAAAACUGUGGGUCAUGUUCUUGGGAAGCCGCGGUGCGCGCACGCCGAGACCCGACGCGGCGAUGGACGAGAGCGCGGCCUUCAUAUUGAUAACGCGGUUGGUGUUGAAAGCGUUGACGGCGAUGCGGUCCAGACUCACGCCCGUCACCUCGGCAAACUCCAUCCCGCCGAUGAGCUUACGACGGCACGGCGCGUAACGCUGCACGGCUAGAUGUUUACGACGUCGGUGUUCCUGAUAGGCCCGGCGCAGCUGCUGCCCCGUAAAGUCAAAUGGCGGCGUGGCGUCAAUCUCCCCCGAUUCCAGCGUCUCUUCCUCCUCCUCUUCUCCCGUCUCCGACCGCCGUUGACGGUGUUUACGCCAUCUCUCCCCGUACCGAGCGUACAUGAGACGCGAGAUAAUGCACACGUAACGUCGAACGCGAUCGGCGGCCGGGUCGCGCGGCAGUGACAGCUUGUGACCCGCGCUCGUCGUCGGGAGCGCGGUGGAAGACAGCGCGUGUCCGUUCGCCGAAACCACCGUCGAUUCUGACGGUGAUAGCCGCGACGUCCUCGGAGCGCAAGAAACACCGUAACCGCGGUUUACGGGUCGGUUCUCUGUCCCAUGGGACCCCAGAUCCCAAGCUAGUUCGUAAUAAACGUAGAAAAGGUUUCUCCCGAAAAAAAAAAAAAAAAAA
rnacentral:antisense_RNA from 1 species